rnacentral:rRNA from 1 species
UACAGGGGGGGCAAGCGUUGUUCGGAAUUACUGGGCGUAAAGGGUUCGUAGGUGGCCACUUAAGUCAGACGUGAAAUCCCUCAGCUUAACUGGGGAACUGCGUCUGAUACUGAGUGGCUUGAGUGCAGGAGAGGAAUGCGGAAUUCCAGGUGUAGCGGUGAAAUGCGUAGAUAUCUGGAGGAACACCGGUGGCGAAGGCGGCAUUCUGGACCGACACUGACGCUGAGGAGCGAAAGCCAGGGGAGCAAACGGG